UAGGGAAUCUUCGGCAAUGGACGAAAGUCUGACCGAGCAACGCCGCGUGAGUGAAGAAGGUCUUCGGAUCGUAAAACUCUGUUGUUAGAGAAGAACAAGGACGUUAGUAACUGAACGUCCCCUGACGGUAUCUAACCAGAAAGCCACGGCUAACUACGUGCCAGCAGCCGCGGUAAUACGUAGGUGGCAAGCGUUGUCCGGAUUUAUUGGGCGUAAAGCGAGCGCAGGCGGUUUCUUAAGUCGGAUGUGAAAGCCCCCGGCUCAACCGGGGAGGGUCAUUGGAAACUGGGAGACUUGAGUGCAGGAGAGGAGAGUGGAAUUCCAUGUGUAGCGGUGAAAUGCGUAGAUAUAUGGAGGAACACCAGUGGCGAAGGCGGCUCCCUGGUCUGUAACUGACGCUGAGGCUCGAAAGCGUGGGGAGCAAACAGG
rnacentral:rRNA from 1 species